CCCCCCCCAAAAUCGAUUUCCCCCCAAAAGCCCCAAAACCCCCAAAACCCAAAUCGAUUUCACCCACUCCCAUCUCCGGCGAUUUCACCCACUCCCAACUAUCGAUUUCUGACGAGCAACCUAGAGACGACCAGCGGCUUCCGACCGGUGAGCGACGACCCAAAUCGAUUUCACCCACUCCCAUCUCCGGCGAUUUCACCCACUCCCAACUAUCGAUUUCCGACGAUCGAUCACUUCCAGGUAAGUUGAAGUAAUUAAUUUUUCUCUCCAUCUACACUUUCUUAUUAAUGUCGUGGAUCGUUAAGGAGCUCAGUUGAGUUUCUUCAUAACGAUCCGACGAUAGUCCGUCGAUCUCUUUGUAUAGUC
rnacentral:lncRNA from 1 species